UUUCUUGAACCUAGCAGAACUGUUGUGAGACCAAGAAGGUCUAUUGCUUGCACUAUCAUCCGGUCUGUUCAAAUGCCUAAUAACGGACUUUCCCCCUUGUCGAACUUUACAAAACUAUUGUAAGACCAAGAAGACCUAUUUAUUCGGCUUUCAUUCAGCCAAUUCAAAAAGUAGCAGCGGACGUUCCCUCUUCCUCGGUAAAGAUAUCUUGGGCAAUGACAACAUACCAAAAACAAAUGCAGCAAUUUGUGUUAGAACAUAGAUAAAUAUGACCAUUCUUAUUACCAACAUCACAUUCAUAGGCCACAACAUACAUAGGCAUAGAUCCACUGUCGGUACAAGUUCAACAACACACUCUAACAAAGGUAUCGAGCAUACAUAGGCCAUCCUGGCACAAAUACUUUUCUAAAGCACAAUGCCUCGCCCUAGUAUCC
rnacentral:lncRNA from 1 species